CCCUUAGAUGUUCUGGGCCGCACGCGCGCUACACUGACGAAUGCAACGAGCUUAUAACCUUGGCCGAAAGGUCUGGGUAAUCUCCAAAUUUCGUCGUGAUGGGGAUAGAUUAUUGCAAUUAUUAAUCUUCAACGAGGAAUGCCUAGUAAGCGCAAGUCAUCAGCUUGCGUUGAUUACGUCCCUGCCCUUUGUACACACCGCCCGUCGCUCCUACCGAUUGAAUGGUCCGGUGAAGCGUUCGGACCGUGGCCUUUGGACGGUUCGCCGUCUGUUGGCUGCGGGAAGUUCGUUAAACCUUAUNAUNNNGAGGAAGGAGAAGUCGUNACA
rnacentral:rRNA from 1 species